rnacentral:rRNA from 1 species
AACGAACGCUGGCGGCAUGCCUAACACAUGCAAGUCGAACGAGACCUUCGGGUCUAGUGGCGCACGGGUGCGUAACGCGUGGGAACCUGCCCUUAGGUUCGGAAUAACUCCCCGAAAGGGGUGCUAAUACCGGAUAAUGUCUUCGGACCAAAGAUUUAUCGCCUUUGGAUGGGCCCGCGUUGGAUUAGCUAGUUGGUAGGGUAAAAGCCUACCAAGGCGACGAUCCAUAGCUGGCCUGAGAGGAUGAUCAGCCACACUGGGGCUGAGACACGGCCCAGACUCCUACGGGAGGCAGCAGUGGGGAAUAUUGGACAAUGGGCGAAAGGCUGAACCAGCAAGGCCGCGUGAGUGAUGAAGGCCUUAGGGUUGUAAAGCUCUUUUACCCGGGAUGAUAAUGACAGUACCGGGAGAAUAAGCUCCGGCUAACUCCGUG